UAUUCCGAUUGAGCUGUUCUUCCACAUCUAUGCGGAUCAGAUGUGUAAACGCGGAGUUACAUGCACACUCACUGACGGCUGAUUCGCCCGCUCCUCCUGUCCACGCGCAAUGCUUGAGGUAUUUGAGAAAAAUAUAUUUGGCACAGAGAAGACGGUCUGCGACAUUUGCAGUUUACCAAAGGUUAGUAUGAUAUACUGUGGUCUAACACACCUUCCCAAUUUUUUUUUUAACUCAGAAAAGGUAAUAUUAGCUUUAUGAACUCAACGUAAUUGAUAUUGAACAUCCCGCACCCGUCAUCAUAGACGUCGUUGGUAACGCAGCGAACACUGCGAUUAAGAUGAAAUGCGGUUAUAGUUUAGAUAGGCCUAUACGGUGCCCAUAUCAAUUAGAAUAGAAAACAUUUAUUACAUUCUGUUCUUAAUAUUAUUUUAUUCUGACUCUGAAUGUUUGUUGCUUUAAUCCAGAUGAGUAUUGAAAAGUUCUUUCUGCACCAAAAAAGGCCUCGUCCAGACGAGACGGAGCAGCUUGAGGAGGCAUCAAACAGUGCUGAACAACCCAGUGCUUCUCAGGGGCUGGGCUGUUCAGGAGAGAUAGUGAUUAAUAUAGGCCAGGAGGACAGCAGACAAAAUGUUGCUGAAACAACAGGUGAGGUGGAAACAGAUUAGUGUAGAUUUUAACUU